GACGUAGGUCGCGAACGUUAUCCGGAAUUAUUGGGCGUAAAGGGUGCGUAGGCGGCAUAAUAAGUUAUUGGCGGGAAAUCGAGGCUCAACCUCGUGGAAACUGAUAAUACUGUUUUGCUUGAGUACAGGAGAGGUUAACGGAACUCCAUGUGGAGCGGUAAAAUGUGUAGAUAUAUGGAAGAACAUCAAUAACGGCGAAGGCAGUUAACUAUUCUGUUACUGACGUUGAGGCACGAAAGCGUGGGGAGCAAAAAGG
rnacentral:rRNA from 1 species